rfam:Schistosoma curassoni strain Dakar, Senegal genome assembly, scaffold: SCTD_scaffold0001909
AUCCAGCUGAAGAGUCCCAAAUAAGACUAAACGCGCGCCCUUGAU